AGAGGUUGCUCCACUCUACUUUAUGGAGUGUUUUUGUUGUUGAUGUUGUUUUGUUUUGUUUUUGUACUAGGGAUUGAAUCCAGAAGUGCUUAACCACUGAGACACAUCCCCAGCCCUUUUUUGGAGGAGGUUGGGGGAUCAGGGAUUGAACUCAGAGCACUCAUCCACUGAGCCACAUCCCCAGCCCUAUUUUGUAUUUUAUUUAGAGACAGGGUCUCACUGAGUUGCUUAGCGCCCCACUGGUUGCCGAAGCUAGCUUUGAACUCAUGAUCUUCCUGUCUCAGCCUCCUGAGCUGCUGGGAUUACAAGCAUGCACCACCGUGCCCAUUUCCUCAGCCCUUUUUUAUUUUUUAUUUUUAUUUUUUUUUUGUUUUGAGACUGGUUCUCACCAAGUUGCUUAGGGUCUUGCUAAGUUGGUGAGGCUGGCCUCGAACUUGCAAUUCUCCUGCUUCAAUCUCCUGAGUGGCUGGGAUUAUGGCUGGAUCACCAUGCUGAGCUCACUUUUACUUUCAAUAAAUCUAUACUCUGCCUUUUAUUUCUGCAUGUCUUGCUCAGUUCUUUGUUUGGAAGCCAAGAACCUGGACCCCAACUGGACUCUUCACUGAUAUCACAUCUACUUCUUCAGAUUCAUCACUUCGAUGGUUUCUAUGGAGCCCUGUUGCCUUUGGAGGAGGGAGCUACCUGUAGAGUCUCAGGAUAGUUCACUCUCCCAGACUUUUUGAUGCAUUUCUUAAAAAAGAAGAGAAGCAAGAAGGGGAACUGGAGAGGAAUGAGGGAAAAAAUAAAAUAAAAGCUAAAUGUGAAUAGAUCAUCCUACUACACAUUGCACUUCACACAUUAACUGCCAAGACAGAUUCCCUGUUUUUCUUGAGUAGAAAUCAGACUUCCUUCUCUAAAUUGUACUUACUCAAAAAUUUAACAAAAAACAUACAAUCAGGAAGAAAAUUGAGAGAUCAUUCUGUUAAGCUGUCUGGCUUCAAGGUGCUGAGUCUUUGCUGGACAUUUCAGUAAAAUAAUUGAAAAACUUAUGUAAAAUAGUAUUAUAGGUGAUGGGGCAGGCUCCUAGGAUGAAAUAACAGGGUGCCUGAAGUUAAAUUAUUAUUAUUUUUUAGAAUAAGCAUCAGUUUUAUUUUGGAGGAUUAGGAUCAGUGGUAGGAAAACAAUUUGUGCAUGGGCCCCUUGGUGCAUGUCACCUUGGGAAAGGAUUGGGGGUUGGAGCAGAAUUGUGAGGCAAAGGAGGACUAGCUCUUGGCUCUGACUUGGCACACCUUUUCAGGGCCUGUGACAUGUUUUCCAGGCCCUACUGCCUAGUAUUUCAAAGCACCUAGUCAUUGCUGUCUGCAUCAGUCUCUAGUAAGGAAGGACACGUCCUGACUCACAAGGUGUGAUCCAGAUCAUCACUAUCAUCAAUAGUAGGUUUGGAAGGAAAACAUCAAAUUGUGUGAAGGUGGGAGAAGUUAUCACAAAUUGUUAAUUCAUGACACUCUUAAGAAUAAUGGCAAUAUUAAAAACAAAACAAAAACGCAGGCUGGGGUUACAGCUCAGUGGCAGAGUAGUUGCCUAGCAUGCAUGAGGACCAAAAAAAAAAAAAUUAAAAAACAAACCCACUGCAUUCUAUGAGGCUGUUGUGAGAAGCAAACUAGGAAGGAAACCAAAUGCAGACCCUUUGAAUGCCACAGAAACAGGCCCCAGAUCAUGCAUCAACCCCUGUAUCAAAAUCAGAGCAUGAGACACUAGGGUGGGAGAGUGAUUGAAUUUCACAGAUUAAGAGCCUAUGAUGAGAAGCCAGGCAUGAUGAUGCAUGCUUGUAAAAUCAGCAACUCUGGAAGCAGGGUGGAUCACAAGUUGAAGGCCAGCCUCAGCAAUUUAGCAAGGCCUGAAGCAAUUUAGUCUCAAAAAAUAAAAAGGGCUGUGGAUGUAACCCAGUAGCUAAGUGCCCCCUGGGUUCAAUCCCCAGUACCAAAAAAAAAAAAAAAAAAAACAACUUAUAUGAGCAAAACCAAAAACCAAAUCUUCCUUUCCCCUGAGAUGUGCCUUGCUGCUGAGUCAUGCUGGUAAGGUAUCAUGAUUUUUUUUCUUGCAGGGUUUUCUUCUGUAAAAGUCAUUUCAGAAGUUGAUGAAAUCUACCCAAUUAUGUGCUGUACAUGUAUGAAUAUAUCAUAAUGAAUCCUGCAUAUAUAUAUAUAUAUAUAUAUAUAUAUAUAUAUAUAAUUUUAAUGCAUUAAUUAAUAAUACAAGGGAGAUUACUUUAGUAGCACAAGCAAAUCUGGGGAAAGAGGAGGGGGGAGGGAAAAGGAAGAUACUGUGGAAUAAGAUUGAUCAAAUUAUGCGCAUGUACAAAUAUGGCAUAAUGAAUUCCACUAUUAUGUAUAAUUAUAAUGCACCAAUAAAAUAAAUAAAUAAAAAGACCAAAACAAAACAAAAAACUGCUGUUACCUCUAUCAAUUCUUCAUUUUAAUAGAAAGGCGAAUAGUAGGAACAAUCAGCCUUUCAGGAUUUAUAAAGGAGAAUUCUAUUGUGAAGGAGCUGUCCCCAUUCUCCUUUAGCUGGUUAAAUGUGAUUUGAUUCAACUCAAUUCCAGAGCAGGGAUUGAGCAUCUGUGUGAUGUGUGUGGAUACUGAUGAGGCACUGCUGGGUGGAGGAGAACAAGUGGGACAUUUUCCUGACUAGAGGGAACCCAUCAUCAAGCAGGGGCCAUAGAUGUGUAGACAAAUAACUACAGUGUGGAACAGAGGGAGGAUAACUUAUGCC
rnacentral:lncRNA from 1 species